rnacentral:rRNA from 1 species
AUUGAACGCUGGCGGCAUGCCUUACACAUGCAAGCCGAACGGCAGCACGGGAGCUUGCUCCUGGUGGCGAGUGGCGAACGGGUGAGUAAAGCAUCGGAACGUGCCCUGAAGUGGGGGAUAACGUAGCGAAAGUUACGCUAAUACCGCAUAUUCUGUGAGCAGGAAAGCAGGGGGUCGCAAGACCUUGUGCUUUAGGAGCGGCCGAUGUCGGAUUAGCUAGUUGGUGGGGUAAAGGCCUACCAAGGCGACGAUCCGUAGCGGGUCUGAGAGGAUGAUCCGCCACACUGGGACUGAGACACGGCCCAGACUCCUACGGGAGGCAGCAGUGGGGAAUUUUGGACAAUGGGCGCAAGCCUGAUCCAGCCAUGCCGCGUGAGUGAAGAAGGCCUUCGGGUUGUAAAGCUCUUUCGGUGGGGAAGAAAUGGCACUUUCUAAUACAGAGUGUUGAUGACGGUACCCGCAUAAGAAGCACCGGCUAACUACGUGCCAGCCGCCGCCGUAAGAC